CCCUAUUAUAUUUAAAUUUAUUAAAUUAAUAUAUUAAUGAAAAUUAAUGAUUUUGGCGGUUAAUUAUUAAUUAGAGGAGCUUGUUGGAAUAGAAUUUACUCUUUAUAUUUUAUAAAAUUGUGGUUUAUUCAUCUCCGUUAUUAGAUAUUUAUUAAUCAAAAAAAAAUUGAUUUUUGAUUUCAGGUCAAGAUGUAGCAUUAUUUUUAUAAGAUUAGCUACAUUUUAUAAUAAUUGAAUUAAAAAGAGAUUUUUAUUUAAGAAAUUGAAUUUAAUUGUAAUAUUUUUAAUUAUAAUGUUAUUAUGAAUGGAGUUAAUUAAUGUA
rnacentral:rRNA from 1 species